rnacentral:rRNA from 1 species
UACAGAGGUCUCAAGCGUUGUUCGGAUUCAGUUGGGCGUAAAGAGUGUGUAGGCGGUGCUCUAAGUUCGGGUGUGAAAUCUCCUGGCUCAACUGGGAGGGUGCGCCGGAAACUGGAGUGCUUGAGCGUGGGAGAGGAAAGCGGAAUUCCUGGUGUAGCGGUGAAAUGCGUAGAUAUCAGGAAGAACACCCGUGGCGAAGGCGGCUCUCUGGGACGGUACUGACGCUGAGACGCGAAAGCGUGGGGAGCGAACAGG